CACGGGGGGAGCAAGCGUUGUUCGGAAUCACUGGGCGUAAAGGGCGUGUAGGCGGUCAGGUAAGUGGGAUGUGAAAGCCCCCGGCUCAACUGGGGAGGGUCACGCGAUACUGAUCGACUCGAAGGCAGGAGAGGGAAGUGGAAUUCCCGGUGUAGUGGUGAAAUGCGUAGAUAUCGGGAGGAACACCAGUGGCGAAGGCGACUUCCUGGCCUGUUCUUGACGCUGAGGCGCGAAAGCUAGGGGAGCAAACGGG
rnacentral:rRNA from 1 species